CGGGGCGCAGCAGGCGCGAAAACUUCACACUGUACGGAAGUACGAUGAGGUUAUCUCGAGUGCAGUCUGAUAAAGGCUGCUUUUCCAUAGAGUAAUAUCCUAUGGGAAUAAGAGGGGGGCAAGACUGGUGUCAGCCGGCGCGGUAACACCAGCCCCUCGAGUGGUGGGGACUUUUAUUUGGCCUAAAGCGUCCGUAGCCGGCUGUAGCCGUUACUCGUUAAAUCCAACGUCUCAAGCGUUGGUCUGCGGGUGAUACCCUACAGCUAGAGGGUGGGAGAGGUAAGCGGUAUUCCUGGGGUAGGGGCGAAAUCCUUUGAUCCCAGGAGGACCACCAGUGGCGAAGGCUGCUUACUAGAACACGCCUGACGGUCAGGGACGAAAGCUGGGGCAGCGAACCGGAUUAGAUACCCGGGUAGUCCCAGCUGUAAACGAUGCUCGCUAGGUGUUGGGUCGGCCACGCGCCGCCCCAGUGCCGCAGGGAAGCCGUUAAGCGAGCCGCCUGGGGAGUACGGCCGCAAGGCUGAAACUUAAAGGAAUUGGCGGGGGAGCAC
rnacentral:rRNA from 1 species